rnacentral:tRNA from 1 species
GCAUCAGUCGCCGCUUGGAAAGGCAAGCAGUCUGUAAAACUGUGGCUUGUUAAGCCCUGAAGGUUCGAGUCCUUCCUGAUGCA